CUGGAACGGUGGCUAAUACCCCAUAAGCCGAGAGGUAAAAAGGAAUCCGCCUGUGGAGGAGCUCGCGUCUGAUUAGCUAGUAGGUGAGGUAAGAGCUUACCUAGGCGACGAUCAGUAGCUGGUCUGAGAGGAUGAGCAGCCACACUGGGACUGAGACACGGCCCAUACUCCUACGGGAGGCAGCAGUGGGGAAUUUUCCGCAAUGGGCGAAAGCCUGACGGAGCCAGACCGCGUGAGGGAAGAAGGCCUUUGGGUUGUAAACCUCUUUUCUCAGGGAAGAAGAAAGUGACGGUACCUGAGGAAUCAUCCUCGGCUAACUCCGUGCCAGCAGCCGCGGUAAGACGGAGGAGGCAAGCGUUAUCCGGAAUUAUUGGGCGUAAAGCGUCCGUAGGUGGUGAUUCAAGUCUGCUGUCAAAACCCAGGGCUUAACUCUGGCUCGGCAGUGGAAACUGAAUGACUAAAGUGCGGCAGGGGCAGAGGGAAUUCCCGGUGUAGCGGUGAAAUGCGUAGAGAUCGGGAAGAACACCGGUGGCGAAAGCGCUCUGCUGGGCCGCGACUGACACUCACAGGACGAAAGCUAGGGGAGCGAAUGGGAUUAGA
rnacentral:rRNA from 1 species